AAGUAAGAUUGAACCAGUUUUGCCUAAUCCUAAGACGCACAUUCAAUUUAGCAGGACUUGAUCUAAAAUAUCAAAGAUCUCUCAAUAAAUUUGUCAUAUUUAUUUUAGAACUGUGAGUUAAUAUUGAACGUUAUUACAAGAAAAACUUUCUCAAGAAUGAAGUUGCUUUAUUUUCUGAUUCUACUACUGCCUUUUCUGGUUGCUUUAGUGAAUGGUUGCAGCAGUAGCAGUUCCCCUGCGAAAGAACCAACAAUCUACUGUGCCAAAACUGAAGAUUGUCCUAAAAAUAAAAAAUGCACAUACUAUCUCAUACAAGACAAAAAUAUCUGCUCUUAGCCUAAUCUGCUGCUACACCAUGUCUAAAUCAAUUCUGCAGUUACUUACAUACUGUAAAGCCAUUUGUUUGAAAGCAAGAGAUUGAAAUUAAAAGAGCUUUGACAAAUAAUUAGCCGAGUAAGCUAAACCUCUAUCUGCACACGAUAUACAACUGAUAAUAUCCUACAAAAACAUAUACACCACUACAAUAACCUAACAUAGGUGUGAUUAUUCCCCUCUACCCCAACUUCACACAAGAAAAAUAUCGGCAUUUUCCGGCUGCGAUGUAGGCUAAUUUUAUGUGGUUGAUAAAAAGACUGGCAGAUGCGGAAUAAUAAUAUGAUGAGAUAAUUUCCACA